UUGCAGGCUCAUCAAUCCAGACUCAGAUCUAAGGGCAGUACAACCAGAGGGAAACUGACAGAUGCAGAAAAUAGCUCAUUUCUGGCUCGUUGUUCUGGCUUGGGCAAGAGAAGGUGUGUGCAGUGCCUGGGACGAAGGACUGAACAGGCUGAGGCCGGGAUUUGUUCCAGGAGCCCCCAGGGGACAGGCCUGGCUCCUGAGCCUGGAAAUGGGGAGGGCGCAUCUCCAACAGGUGGAGGCUCCCAGCAAAGUAUGCCAGGCAAGAGAAAAGAGGGGAACCGCUCUCUGUCAACACUACUCUUGGCAUCCUCCCAUCCCCCAGGAGGGACCCUCAGCCUGCCCCCAAGGCCACGGGACGAGGGAGGAGCUGGGGAUGAUGAGAGAGGAAGGAAGGAGGCGGCUCUUCUUGGCGAGCUGAUGGGGUGUGAGUGGUGAGCAUUAAUUAAAAAGCCAUCCGGGAACAAUGGUCUUUUCAUAUUUGAAGCCUGUUCUGCACAAAGCUCAGCUUGUUCUAGGGGGAGGUCUCUGCUUUAGAUUUUUUUCUUACUCAUUUCCGAGGGUUGUGGCAAUGUCUGGCACCCAGCUCGAUCCACUGGAGUGUCCCCAACCAGAGGCUGUACAAGGCAGACCUCCUCAACUUCAUAGGUGGUGCCAUUCAGGUACAAAAAAAAAAGGUGGGGAGGCAACUUCGGGAAGUUGUUCUGUUUCAAUCCACAAGCUCCCAGAGAGCUCCUGGGCGUUUCCCCGAAUAGCUGCCUAACCCACAGAAAUAUACACUGGACGUUUUCUUCAGUCAAACACCCAUUUCCCUCUCAAAUUACACUAGACAUACCACACCCGGCAGACACAGGGCGGGGAGUCGUGGGUCUAACAGACAGCCAACAGACGCUCCAAGCAUGAAGUCUGAGAGGACAGUGAAUGGACAUCAGGAGUGCUGAGACCCCCUCUGCGUUCCAGCCCACUCCUGGAAUCUCAGCAACACCUCAAACUGUCCUUAAGAAAAGCAGUUUUUAAACCAGGGACAGGAGCGAACACUGAGCAACUAAGAAGGUCCUGACACUUCAAAAAACCAUCACCCGCCUCAAUCCUUACCAUCUCGGUGGGCAGUCCCCUCGGAUCCCACCUCCUGGUACUCACACCCUUGUGUAACCCCUCCCUCUCCAGUGUGGGCUGUGUACAGUGACUCACUUCUAAACAAGAGUCUACAAAUAGAACAGGUCACUUCUGAGAAGACGUUGCAAAGAGACUAUAGUUCUGUCACCUGCACUCUCCCUAGUGGAAGCCAAAUGCCAGGUUGCAUGCUACUCUAAGGACAGGCCCCCGGGUCAAGAAAUGGGGGGCAGCCCCCAGCCAACAGGGGAACAGAAGCCCUCGAUCCAGCAGCCCUGGAGGAACUGAAUCCUGCCAACAACAUGAUGAGCUCAGACACAGGACCUUCCCCAGCAGAGCUAUCAGAUAAAGAAACUGAGACCCACAGUCACAGCCCAGCAAAGGCAGAACUCAAAUGCUGGCCAAAAUGGCACAAACCUCUUUGGGAUCUUGGAAAUUUAGCCCAAACAUGCUGAACAUACCUCGGAUUUGCUGGCCAAGAAAAUCCCAUCAGUCACUCUGAUGUCUGCUUUGACACACCCUGUUCAUGUCCCGUGGCAGCCAUUCCCUGCCUUGGUAAGUCCACCCACUAACUGGGCAGCUUUCUCCUGCACCUGUGCCCCCAAGUCCCUCCACACAGGGACAGGGGGCAACAGGUAGACAGUCUGCCCCUUGGUUAACCUGUGAAGGAAAAUCCUCAUUCUCAGCUUAUGUUGAGGCAGAGCCUUAAGCUACUUUUAAGGUCUAUGACACGUCAGGAAGAUGAUGCGAUGCUUCCCUCCGGAGAGCUAAAACUGGCAGAGGUGUUCUCAGAUCUCCAGGAGGAUUCCACAGGCUUGCACAUCACUGACUAAGACAUACAUAUUUUUACCAACACAUACUCUAGACACUUACAGUAAAGUUCAUAAAUAAUUAAGACUAAGUAGUCUAAGGACAUUUUCUGAGGCACUUUUGCUUUAAAAACAACAACAACAACAAAAACCUAGGCCCUCAUUCGUAAGGUUGAAUAAUAUCCGAGCCGUCCAGACAUAGCCAAAAACCAGUGAUAUUCAAGUGAUUGUACAUUCUCACUCUCGGACAUACGUGUCUUUUAUUAUGAAAGCAAUAGAUAUUCACUAUUCAGAGUUUAGAACACAAAGUAUUAAAAGUAGCUUGUACUUCUACCCCCUGGAAAAAACCACUCAGUUAAUAUUCUAUUAUAUGUAUCCUUCAGCCUCUCCUUCACACAUAUUUUAAAAAUUAAACUGAAGUCCCAUGGUAUGCACGGCCUCCUUUAAUUUAAUUUUACAUUACUGUUUUCCCAUAUCCAUAACCAUGAGACAAAGGUUUUAAAUAGUCACGUAAGAAUCUGCCAUAUGGAUGCACCACAGUUCGAAUCAAUCCCCUGUGAGGGAUUUAGAUUGUUUCCAUUUUCACUAUUAUAAAUGCCUACAAAGAAAUCUUUAUUUACAUAUUUCUUUUGCACAACUCCAAUGAUUUCUCUGGUUAUAAAUUAAGGUGCCGAGUCACUAGCCUGAUUCUGUACAUUAGAGAUAAAUCAGUGAAAACACAAAGAUUCCUGCCCUUGUGAAGCUUAUAUUCUAGCAGGGGAGACAAUCAAGGAUAAUAAAGUUUAAAAUUAUCUAGUAUUUUAUUAGGUGACGCAGGCGAUGGUAACAAGGGAAAGGCAGGAUAGAGUUCGGAGAAUCAGCAACUUGCAGUGAGACAAGCUACAAAUGUAAAUAAACCUUAUUUUAAAGUUUCUUGACACACAUGGCCAAACUACUCCCAGAAAGGGUGCAUCAAUUUUUCUUCCUUCUCACCAUUAACUGGGUAUUUGCUUUACAAUAAUAUCUUGGUUGCAAAACACACAAAAAGCUCAAUCUCACUGGUAAUUAGAUAAGGUAAAAUAGGGGCUACCACUCAUCUCUUCACAUAGGCAAUGUGAAUUUAUUCUUCAUAUGAAUACCCCAUUCAUAUUCUUUGCUCACUUUUCUACUAUCUUUUUCUAUCAUUGAUUUUAAGAGCUCUUUAUAUAUUGAGGUUAUUUAAGACAAGCUCUAUCAAUUACAUGUACUGUCAACAUCUUUUCCCAGUUUGUCAUAUGCCUUUAAAUUUCUUGAUUAGUACCCAGCAGACAGAAUUUUUUUUUUAUGUAGUAAAUCAGUAUUUCCACUAUGAUUUCUUUCACUAUAAGAACUGGGCCUAAUAUCCAUUCCUGCCCCAUAUUCAGAUUAACAUUAACCUAUACUUUCUUCUAGCUCUUUGUGACUUCAGUUUUACUUUCACCUCUCUAAUCUGGAAUGUAUGGUAAUAUAUUCUAUGAGGAAUGGCUGUAAGUUUUCCCCUACUUGGUUAUCUACCUUACAACCAUUUAUUGCAUAACUGCACAAUAUGCAAUAUUGCAAAAUACUACAGGUAGCAAAGCACAGUGAAAGAGAUCAUUGGUUUUGCUGUCUAUCAGAUCAGUGCUCAAGUCUGGGUAACCUUGGGCAAGUAGUCUAUAAACAUGAGUAAAAGGAACUAUUCAUAGUGGCCACCUCAUACAGUUCUUGUGUGUGUGGAUUAAAUAAAUUCACAUGAAAGUGUUUAGCAUAAUGCCUGACACUUAGAAGUACUGAAAAAAGUGAGCUUUUAUUAUUUUAACUCCUCGCACUUACUUGAAAUGCUACAUUACCUGACACAUUUCUAUUUGAUUCCAUUCUGUUGAGUAGUCUCUAUAGCAUUUUCUAACCCAGUUUUCCAAGUAUUUGAGAAGGCUGACUUUUUGAAAUUUUACUUUGUAACUGAACUCUAUACCUAAUUCAAUUUAAAUGUGUCUUGGGUAUUGUAGGAAGACAAUAACACCUGCAAAUAAUUUUUUUAACCAUUAUUUGACUUUGGUUUGUACAUUCUGGCCAAUUCAAUAAGGCAGAAAAAAGAAAUGGUACACCGGGCAAUCUUUGUUUUAUUCCCCAUUUCAUAAUGCUGCCUCUCAUGGUUCACCAGUAAGGCUCCAGCUAUUGGGCUGUUUGUUUUGCCAUCAAAUUAAUGCAAUCUCUUUGCAUCCUGGUUUUUUAAAAUUCUACACAAACUAGGAAUAAGAGUAGAAAAUUACCAGAUGCCUUUUUUUGAUAUGUAUUUUUUCUUCUUUCUGCCUAGGUGAUGUAUUUGAAGAAUAGACAUUCUAAUGUUUAGCUCUUCUGACAUUUAUGGGAUAAACCUUAUGUGAUCAUGAUUCUUUUAAAAUACUGAAUUCAAUCUUCAACUGUUUAUUUGGCAUUUUUCAUCUAUAUUUAUGACUGAGCUCAAUCUUCAGUCUUCUCUUUGUGUAAUCUUUGUAAUGAUGCUGGUUCCCAAAGUUGUACUAGCUCUAUAAAAUUAACUGCGAUGGUUUACUGCUUUUUCUAUGCUCCAAAAUAGUUUAUUUAGCAGGCAAUUAUUUUGUCUUCCAAAGUUUAAAAGAACUCAUCCAUUAAACCGCUUGCAUCCAGAGCCCUUUUUGGAAAUACGAUUUUUUUUACAUGUUUGGUUUCUUCCCUAGUUUCACACUGAUGAGUCACUUUCCUAGAAUAGCCAUGUCAACUGAGAUUUUCAAAGUUGUUGUAUUUUAAGUUACCAUAUUCUAUUUUUAUAUUAAAAAAUAAUUAUUUCAAAUAUAACUUAUAAUUUAUUACUCUUUUUUUUUCCAUCACAUCAACUCAUUUUUAGUUUUGUGUGUCUGGGUUUUUCCUUUUCUUAAUUAGAUAUGACACAGUGGUUUUUGGUCUAUUUCCUUGAUUUUUUUUGACCCAGAUAAACAGCUCUUAAAUUUAUCACUUCAAUGUUUUUGUCUGUUUUCUAAUUCAUUAAUAUCACUUGUACAUUAUUAGGCAUCCAAAAAAUGAUCUCUUAAUUCUGUUUUCUUCUUUCCAACCUUGAGUGGAACACUUAAUUUCAUUUAUUUUCAUUUUCCUUUAUUUAAUAAUGAGACAGUUUAAAGCUAUGAAUGUGCCCCUGAUUAUAACUUUGGCAAUAACCCAUGCAUUUAUAUAGAGAGUUCUCAGUAUUUCCUAAUGACUCUUUAACAGCAAUUUUAUCUCCUCUUUAACCCACGUGAUUCAGGAAAAUAUUUUUUAAUUUUCAAGUAACUGGAUUUCAUUAAUGUUUUUAAUAUUAAGUACUCCAUAGAGGACGUAAACAUCUCUGAAAGAACAUGAAGAAACCAUUGCAAAGGAAAAGAAAAAAACUUUGAAGCAGAAAACACUACCCAUGUUUAAGUACUUACGUAAUACCGUGACAGCCAUACCCAAGUAUACGCCUUAUAGAAAGGGUCUAACAGCAGGUGAUUCUGAGGAACUAAGUGAUUCUGGGGCACAGAGCACAGGAAGAGAGGGAAAAGGAAAGCUCCUCUGUACCUUCUGAAAAUUUUAUUGUGGGCAUGUAUUGCCUCUUUAAAAAUUAAUUUAAAAAGCCAAGCCAUCUCUCAAUACAUGCGAUAAUACCAUCCCAGAUAUACUAAGUAUAUCACCAAGUAAAUUUCCAUACUUCCCUUGAUGAACUUUGGAGACCGAUUUCAUUGAGCAAGACUUGGCUCCAAGAUGAUAAACAUCCGUGGUUGGAGAAAGGAGGAGGAAAAAAAGAGAUCUCUAAUUCUGCAACCUCCAAAUACAGAAGAACUAAGAACUUAAGGAAAAGGAAAUAAUCAAAAAAAGUUUAAUCCAGUUUCAACCAGCUACCAUUCUGACACCUGAAAUGCAAGAACAUACCGCUGAAAGGAUGGCAGAAUUCCCAGUUUCACCCACGUCCUCUUCUACUCUUUCCCAUUGUAGCAAUGCUCCCUUGUCAGGCGUUUUGGUUGGAGUAGACUUCUCCAUUAUUAACUUCAAAUGGAUUUCGAUCCCAAAUUCAUUCAGUUAACUUGGGAUUCUAAGUGUUAUGCCAUAGUCAACCCCCACCCUCCCCACCAACUUUGCAAUGUCAACUGCAAAAGAUAAGAAAAAACAAACUCCAGAAAUCAGUUUUCCAAUUUAUGUUGAAGAAAUCUGCUUCCCUCUUUCUAAUUCCCACAACUGGGAAAAUCCAUAGAUUAUGUUACCGUGUAAUGAAGGAUGCCAGUAAACAGAAAGUCACAGGCUCGCCGCACACACAACAGAUGACACUGCAUGUAAUUGCAAACCCGACCAAGUUAUGUACUCCUGGGAGUAUUAUUAGUGAGAUGUUGUUAUUUAAUGCCUCUACUGUUUGGAAAA